UGCCCAUCAACUCCUACCCCUACAUCCUCGUUGUACCAGCCGGACUACGAGCAAACUUAGGAUCAGCUAAUCAACCCCCGUGGGAACUUUGAUUUUAGGCUGACAGGGAAGG
rnacentral:ribozyme from 1 species